UACGUAGGGUGCGAGCGUUAAUCGGAAUUACUGGGCGUAAAGCGUGCGCAGGCGGAUUGUUAAGCAAGAUGUGAAAUCCCCGGGCUUAACCUGGGAAUGGCAUUUUGAACUGGCAGUCUAGAGUGUGUCAGAGGGGGGUGGAAUUCCACGUGUAGCAGUGAAAUGCGUAGAGAUGUGGAGGAACACCAAUGGCGAAGGCAGCCCCCUGGGAUAACACUGACGCUCAUGUACGAAAGCGUGGGUAGCAAACAGG
rnacentral:rRNA from 1 species